rnacentral:lncRNA from 1 species
UGCGGCUGGAGCUUUGCAGGGAGAAAUGUUUGAUUUAUGACAUGAGUCAAUUACGCUCCUCUGCCAAAAUGGAUAAAAGGUUCCAAAAGCAUGAAGAUUUGCGUUUCACAAUCUAUGCAGGAAGGCUGAGUUGAUAUAUUGGUUGCAAAUGAAGAAAAGCACGUGUGGAUCUUCCUCGGACAAAAAGAAAAAGAGGAAACCGCCUGAUGAAAACAGAGCCAAAACACCAGCCUUGCCAGAAACCAGGUGAAAAUGCAUAAAUAACCCAGCCUGUCUAUAGGUUUUGCCUUCUGAAACCACGGAAAGGAGCAGGAUCCGGCCUCACUGCUCAAGGCUGAGUCCUCCUGGCGUACUGCAGACACUGUGCUUUCAGGCUGCCUGCUCUGAAAUGGAGACGUUUUUCCUCUUUAAGAACCAAGA